CGGGCAUUAGCGCAGGGGUUUAGCGUACAAGUCUGGGGGACUUGGGGUCGGCGGUUCAAAUCCGCCAUGCCCGA
rnacentral:tRNA from 1 species